UAAAAAGGCAGUGAAGUGACCUGGGGAAC
rnacentral:piRNA from 1 species